UUUAACUCCCCCACACAGAUCAGUGUACGUGAGUCCAAUGAUGAUCAACAAAAAGUUAUAUUGACUAUCACAAAUCUAGUUGAUAUCAUACGAGUGUUAGAAAAGGGUAACUUUCAGAAUCAAAAGUGGCGUAAACUUGGUCUCUACUUGGGUCUGAUUCACCCCGACUUAAAGACUAUUGAGGAAAACUAUCCUCGAGAUGCUGAGCGAUGUCUGGAAGAAUGUUUAGCAAAAUGGCUUACAGUUGAUACUGAAGCAACAUGGGAGAAACUAGCUAUUGCUGUUGGUGAAG